UGCUCGACGGCCAUUUUCUGUUAUUCCCUCCAAAAGUAGAAUAAAUUCCCCCCAAAUUGCAAUAUUUAUUGAUAUUUCACUAAGUGUACAGAAUUAUUACACUUAUAUUUAUUCGAGGGUUCACACAGUAGGGGGGUCUGUGGAGUGUUAUGUAGUGUGCGGACGGUGAAAUCCCUCUGUGCUUCUUAAGGAUCUAACAACAAAAUGCCUGCGACGCUUUCGCGACCUAGAAAAUCAAAAGCACCAGAGUAUACUCCUGAGCAGUUGGAAAGUGCUCUGACGGCGAUCAGAACAGGAAGAUCUUUGGGAUCAGUCAGCAAAAAAUGUAAUAUCCCCAAGUCAACCUUAUACGACAAGGCAAAUGGCAAGACAAAAGCUGGGAUCAACAGACCUGGUCCUAAGUGUAUUGUGGGAGAAUUUUAUGAGAAGAAACUGGUAGAAUGGAUUUGUUAUAUGGCUGAUAGGGGGUUUGCCGUCACUAAGGAUCAAUUGCAGAAUUCCGUUCACAAACUGAUGAAAUUUCUUGGCUCAAUUACACUUAAUUCAUAAUAAUAAUGGUUAUUCAUGGUUAUCAUUUAGUGUGUAAUAAAUUUAUGGCUAUUGGAAUGAGAA